rnacentral:lncRNA from 1 species
CACGUAUUAAAAAACAAAAUAGCAUCGUAUUAAAAAACAAAAUGGCGUCAGGAUACCAAUAUGUAUUUAUAAAUUCAUUGGUAAAUUAUUAGUUUCAGCUGAUCAUCUGGGAAAACGGUGGACCCAUUGGAGCUUGGAAGAAAUUUAAAACAUUAUUUUUGGCUGCUUCUGUUCUCAAUUAUUAAAUCAGUCUUCAGGAACUCCCAGAAGUGUAAGAAUUGCUUAAAGGAGAGCAGGGAUUGUCAGUACUUAGAAAUCUUUGGUUUAGAACAGGGAGCCCUGAAGUCAUUUUUACUAACUGAGUAACAUGUUUAUCUGAUAAAGAACCUAAUAGAUAUAAUGUGUGUGGUUUCUCAUUAACCUGGGUAUUUAGACUAUUUAGACAUUAUUCUGCUCCAAAAAAUGGAAACGUUUGCCUCUAAUCUUUCUUACCAACAUCUCAUAUUUUUCAUACAUUCUCUCUAUUAAAGAUGGAUAGAUAUAUAUGUUUUAGGUUUCAUUUUUGUUUUUUUUGCAACCACUCUUAAAUGUCACUUACAAUCACCCGAGAGAGAGGUCAUAUUGAAACCACCAUUGGGUAUUGAUGUAAUUUGGAGUUAGGGUCUUAAUGAGCAACUUCGAUGUAUGGGUCACAAAAUUGUACAGGUCCUUGUAAGUGAACUUGUAAAGAUCAUGAAUCACCAUCCUAUUAGUAGAAGGACCUUUAUACGUUGUCAUUGAUCGUGUUGUAUAACAGUGUCUUAAAAAUAGCGACAUAUCCUCUAAAGUAUAAGGAUACUUGGAAACUGAUUGUCUACAUUUUAACUCUCCCUUUAGACAGAUACUUGUGAGACUGUUGCUGUAUUACCUACUACUUUAGUGAGAGACCUUUCUAUGGAAAGUGUCACUAGCAUUAGCGAUCCUCUUUGGCCAUAGAUUUCUUUCAGAUGUCAUUUUUUUAGGCUUACAAGAGAGAAACAAGAUGUUUUACAUUGUCCUAAACAGCAAAUUAACAUUGUCCUGUGGAAACAUAGCAUUCUAACAAAGCUAAUGUACAUGAUGUAUCUAGACAUCAAAACCUUAAUCAAAUCUGGGUAACAGGCACAACCCUAUAUGUUUACUCCACCAAGUUCCACAGUAUUGAUAACAUUUCCAUUAGACGUAAUUGCACACUGGAUUAGAUAGUCAGACAUGAGAACAUAUUUAAAUUUGCUUGCUUCCAAAAUAAACAGAUUAGUGGUUGAUGUCUUCUUUGACACAAUGUUCUUAGCCCUAUAUCACUGGGCAACAAGAACUUAAUGAUACAAAAAUCUCACGACUGGUUUGUGAUAAAAUAAUAUUGUAGACAAAGUACAUAUUUUUUUUCCUACUUGGAAAACAAUCUGAAACAUUAACACAUCUAUAUUAAAGUGCUACCAUAACAGAAAUAUUUAAAGUUGCAUUUCCCGAGUUUCAACAAUCGCAUGGACGCCUAUCAAGAAAGGGCCUUGAAUAUCCUGUAAGAGCAGAUAAUUCCAUCCUCCUGUAUCCUGAAUAACAGCAUAUGCAAAUUUAAAGAUCAAAGCAUAGACACGUUAAUAUAGAUCGCUAUUUCAUUCAGAUAAAAACAGAUCUGUACGUAUCUCUAUUAUGUCCCUUUAAUUGUGACUUACCCAGAUUUUUCUAUUCAAUGUAGGCAGUUAAAUGUUGGCUGUCAUAGUUUGUGCUCAAGUUGAAUGCUAAUUUAUUUAUUUUUCAUAUUUUUUUUAAAGUAUUUUUUCCUACCUAUUAGCAGUGCAACAUUU